rnacentral:RNase_P_RNA from 1 species
AGUUCUCCGGGUGACCGGGGAAGCUUGGUAAACCCCGUCCGGUGCAAGACCAAAUAGAGAGACGCUUGAGGGCUGCCCGCCCAAGUCUCCGGGUAGGUUGCUCGAGAUGUAUGGCAACAUGCAUCCUAGAUGAAUGACCGUUGAUCUUUUUGCGGGUAACCGCAAGAAGGUAACAAAAUUCGGCUUACGGGCCGGUCAGACCG